CUAUUUCUUUUUUCUAGUUCCCUUUUCCAAGGAAGGCCAUCUUUGCUCACCCUCUUGGCCUUGCUCCAGCCAUGCAGGCCAUCUUCACACUCUCCCUCUGCCACACUGCAGAGCGCUGAUAGCUCUUGGAGGGGAGCUUCUACACAUGGCUGGUGCCCUGGAUUUUACAUCUGGUGUCCUGUUUUUUGCAGCUGCCACUGAGGGGAUGCCCCUUGAUUGCUUGGGUCUGGAGGCCAGGGAGGCUUAUGUGCCUGGGUCCCAUGGGACUAAAAAAAUUGGAGAGAAAGUUCUUGGCAGACUACCACUCCCAGGGCACUGCACAGGCAGCAGACCGAAAUACAUCUCCAAUUUUUCUGAGAGAAAGGCCUAUUCCCUUCUCCAGCCUGAGGGCCAGUUAUAGGAAUCUGCAGAGGGGCUUUUGGGGAAUGGAGGCUGGUGAAGGUGAAUGCAAUUUUUGCACUCUCCUUCUGCCUCACUCCAGCUCCCCUAUUUUUUUAUAUAGAUAGGAGUUUAUGUCCUUCUUUGGAGCCCUGAUUUUUGUGGCAGUUUUCAGCAAUAUCUCUACAUCACCUGGCUCUGGUGGUCAGCAGGACUUAUGCUCACAUGUCCCAAAGGACUAUAACCAAUGGAGAAAGCAUUCUUAAACAGGGACUUCCCCCAGGGCAUAGCAUGAAGCAACAGACCCAGGAGGUCAAUCUUUCUGGAAAGAGGUCUAUUAGCUUAUCACCAUGGUUGUAGCCUGAGGGGCAGGCUUCCAAUUAAACACAGAUCUAAGGGCUGACUGUAAACAUUUCCUGAGACCUAGGAGGGUGGGCACUAUCUUCACGGUCUCCCUCUGCUGCACUUCAGAGUGCCAGCAUCUCUCAGAGGAGAGCCCUUAUUUGUAGCUGGUGCUCCAGUUUUUAUGUCUAGUGUCCUGAUUUUUGCAGCUGCUACCCAGGGGAUAUCCAUGGACUUCCUGAUCCUGGUAACCAAGACAGCUUGCAUUGGUGGGUCCCCUGGGACUGUAACAAUCAGAGACACAGUGCUUGGUAGACUAUCACCCUUAGAGCACUGCACAGACAGAAGACUGUAAUACACUCCUGCCUUUCCGUGAAAGAGGUGUACUUCCUAGUCCUGGAGAUUUGGCCUAAGGGGCAGGCUUCAGGUUUGGCACACACCUAGAAGCUGUGGAGAUGCUCUCAGGAAACAUAAGACAGAUGAUACCAUCUUUGUGCUCUUCCUCUACCUUGGGACAGCUCAUGAUAUCUCCCAGGAAAGAGCUUGUAUACUCAUCUGCAGCCCCAAUUUUUCCAGCUACUGCCCAGAGGACAUCUACACAUCACCUGGGUCUGGGAGCCAGUUGGGUUUACACUUGUAUUCCUGUAAGACUGUAUGUAUUGGCACCCUUUAAAACUGUUGCCUGAGGGUCUGGCUUCUAAUUAGCUGAAUCUAGGUGCUGACUGAGAUCCUCGCCUUUGAGACAUUGACCUUGGUACACCCACAACUUGGGAGCUAGUGAAUAUAAAAAGGACUGCUUGGACAAUCACAAAGAUUUGUGAGACAACUGAGGCCUAGGGCAGGGUUGGACAAUAAGUUUCAUCUCCUACACAAAGACAAGCCUUCAAAACUGGAAGACGUUGCUGUUUCAUCUAAUGUACAAGAAACCAAAAUGGAGAGUCAAGUAAAAUGAAGAAACAGAGGUAUACAUUCCAAAUGAAAGAGCAAAAAUAAAACCUCAGGGGGGAAAAAAAAGCCUUAAUAAAAUGGACAUAAGUAAUUUACUUGAUAAAUAAUUCAAAGUGAUGGCAAUAAAGAUGCUCACCAAACAGGGAGAAUGAUGAACAGUGAGAAUUCCACAAAGAAAUAGAAAAAGUAAGAAAGUUCCACACAGAAAUCACAGAAUCAAAGAAUACGAUAACUUGACUGAAAAAAUGCAGUAGAAUGGUUCAACAGGAGUGUAAACAAAGAAUAAAGUACCAGUGAACAUGAAGACAGGGUAGAGGAACUCACCCAAUCAGAGUAGCAAAACAAUGAGAAAAGUGAAGAUAGUUUAAGAGAUUGAUAGGACAACAUCAAGCAGACUAACAUUUGCAUUAUCAGGCUACCAGAAUGGGAAGGGAAAGAGAAAGGGGAAGAAAAUUUAUCUGAUGAAAUAACAACUGAAAACUUAUUUAACCUGGAGAGACAGUAAUUCAGAUUCAGGAAGCCUGGAGAGGUAAAUUAAAUAAAUCCAAAGAGACAGAUGUUAAUUAGACUAAUCGGGGUCAUCAUUUUGCAAUAUGUGUGAAUAAUGAAUCAUUAUGUUGUGUACCUAAAGCAAAUACAAUGUUGUAAGUCACUUAUACCACAAUAAAAAGAGAGAGAAGAUGUUACAUGAGCAAGUCUUUAUUGGAAAUAACAGCAGGAUUUGGUAUCUGAAUAAGUUCAGGCAUUAAGGAGAAAACAGAGAAAAGCCUGGGUGAUGGAAUUUGGCUGAGAUGGGGCAAUCAGAUGGGGAAGUUGGUUUGGUUUAGUAGUGAGACAUCCAUUUAAAAGUACCCAGGUAGCAAUGACAUGGGCCAGGAUUGGAUGCUAGGAAAAACAAGAGAUUGAAUUUUUUGUGUGUGUGCGUCUUUUCUAGGGCCACACCCGCAGCACAUGGAGGUUCCCAGGCUAGGGGUCCAAUCAGAGCAAUAGCCGCCAGCCUAUGCCAGAGCCACAGCAAUGUGGGAUCCAAGCUGCAUCUGCAAUCUACACCACAGCUCACAGCAACGACGGAUCCUUAACCCACUGAGCAAGGCCAGGGAUUGAACUUGCAAGCUCAUGGUUUCUAGUCGGAAUCAUUAACUACUGAGCCAUGAUGGGAACUCCUGAAAUUUAGGAAUAAGAAGUAAUGACAUGAUCAUUGUAAUGAUAAAAUAUGGCUUUCUGAGGAACUGUAUUAAGACAUAAGAGGGGAGGGAUAAUGAUACAACUUUGGAAACAUGAGGAGGAGGAGUAGCCAACCAAAAAGGGAAUCAUCAGAGAGAUAGGAGAGAAGAAAGGCAAUUCAGAAGAGUGCAAUAUCACAGAAGUCAUUGAUGGAGAGUCAGGAAGAGCAUCGGUAUUGCCUGACAUAGUUUUUUCACCUAGGAUAAGAAAAGGUAAAAUAUUUUCAGCCACAAAUCAGACAAAGCUAUCGGUAAAGAAAAAAAAAAAAAGCCAUAUUGUAGAGGAUUUUGAAAGCUACAGGUAAAGAUAAAAAUAGAGGUAGUUGGCAUAAAUUGCUCACCUGAGAAAUACUAUAGUAAAGUAAGGAGAGACACAAAAUAGUGAGUAAAUGGGCAACUAUGGUCAAGUGAAUGGUUCUUUUAAACUGAGAGAAAACUCUGCUGAGAAUAAAGCGAAGCAUGAGAGAUAUUUUGAUGUGGGGUUCAGUGAAUGUUCUAGAACUUGCACCAGGUAGGCUAAGUCCUCUCAAAUAAGAUUAAAUCAGAGAGAUUCUUACUGGAACAGAUGAAGGAGAAAUAUUCUCAAUUCUGGGAAACUAGUCGAACCUCAACAAUAUGAACUUUUGGGUGAAAAACUGUCAUAGGUCUUUGUCUCUCUAGCAAGAGACAGCAGGAAAAGAGGGAGACAAGAAGGUAUGGCGACUUGGGUUUGGGGUUGACAUCUAUCUGAAGCAGGUAUGAGGAUCUGGAGUGUGCGCAGGUUAAGUGUCUAGGCUAGAUGGCAAGGGCUGGGUGGGGAAGGGUAUAGAGUCAAUAGAAUCAAAUAGGUAAAGAAGGAGGUUUGAAGGCUCUGGUUUAAGUGAGGCUUAGACUUAGGAGACGUGGGGGAAAUAACAGAUAUGCUCAUUUCCUAGGUCUUCUUAACAAAUGACUACAAACCUGGUGGCUUAAAACAAACUGAAAUCUAUUCUCUCACAGUCCCGGAGGCCAGAAGUCUGAAAUCAAGGCAUUGGCAGAGAUGUGCUCCUUCCAAAGGCUCUCGGGUGAACACUUCCCUGCCUCUUCCACCUUCUGGUGGUCCAGGGACUCCUUGGCUUGUGGAGCAUAACUCCCAUCUCUGCCUCUGUCUUCACAUGGCCUUCUCCAUCCCACUUGAAAAAGAACAGAGAGGCACUAGUGUUCCCGGACAUGGUUUUGCCCAUAUACAGCACAUGUGCUGAUGUAUGGUGCCAUGGGGGAUCAAAAGGUCAAGGUGGUUGGGGAAUAAUGACAUUAAUAGUCAAAAUUUGAGGCUGGCUUCCUCAAGGAGGAUAGAUGCAAUGGGGUGAAACUAAGUGAUCACUGCAGCAGGUAUUUCUAUAAAGUCAGUGAAUUCUGGAGGUCUGUUGUCAAGGGUGGUAGAGACCAACUACCAAGACUUUAAAUAGUGAUGGAAGAAUGACACUUCAAUGAUCUGAAAGUGGCAUUAAGAGCUAGGAGAAGGCUGACCCUUUUCUUUUUCACCCACUCAUCCAGAGAGCAUGAGACUUAGGUUAAAAAUGUUUUUCUCACUUCUACAAUGCUACCUGUGUUGUCUACCCUAUGGAGAAAGUCUCUCUCUCUCUUCUUCAAGCCAGUGGAAGCUAGGGCAACUGGAUUUCAAAAUUUUCACCUUUCUCCUCUUAAAAAAUCAAGAUGGUAUUUUUCUUUUUUAUGUUUCUAUAAUUUUUUUUCUUUCAGAUAGUCACAUCCUUGUAUCUACCCCAAAUAACUUGCAUGAGAGCAGGGACCAAGUCUAUUUUGCUCAUUCUUAUACCUCCAGAGUCCAGCAAAGGACUCAGUAGAUGUUUGUCAAGUGAAUGAAUGAGUGGUUGAAUGAAUACACAAAUGAAUAUGUGAAUGAAAUUGCAUUUCCCUGUCUCAUAUGCAUUGAAACCACCAGCAGAAACUGUCUUUUAGCGAUUGUUGAAGAUGUGGUACUGGGCUCACUUGAUCUGUGUCCCGUCCUUGAAUUUCUAUACCAAUAUGGAUAAUAGCUCAGCGCCUUGUCAAUAAGAACAGCAUGUUCCAUCCGCUGCUGCCAAACUCUUAACAAGCCAUCUGAGCAGAGGUGCUUGUGUGAAGGUGACACUUGCCCCCACCAAUGUCAUCUAAGGAAAUACCCAUCUUCCCUUAAGUGUCUCUCCUCCCUGCCUUCACAUAUCAGUGCACUAUAAAUGAUGAUGAGGAGGGUUUGUAAAUCAAGAAAAAGGCCCUGCUUUCAAGCACUCCUUAAUUAGGUAGGAUGGAUACAGCUUCCUAGUUCAUUUGGACGGGGCAGUGGGGAACUGUUCCAUCUCCUGCAUGUUCCCACCUGGGGCUUGCAGUGUUCCCAGGGUGACUGCUCUGUGGAAGGAGUUUAUAACUUCUAAGAUUCUUCCUCAUUAUACCAGGACCAGGAGGAACACCGUACGGGUAAAGUCGGCUCCAAGGUUUAACAAAAAGAUUUGAAGAUUCGAUGUGGAGUUAAAUUUUCUGUUGAUUUAGUCAUUUAUACCUCAUCUUGUCCUGAACACAAGUCAGGAUUUCUUUGAAGAUUAUAUAAAUUAUGUUGGGGAACAAUUAAGUGUAAAUAGAUGAAAACAAAGGAAGUAGGAUUCGGAACCUAAAACUGAGCCAGGAAGGAAACUAUAAUACAGUAGUGUAGACAGUGAAUUCCUUUACACUCACUCUGCAUUGGAUUCACGUUUGGAUCUCUGUGUUCUAACCACCAGCACAAAAGGGAACCCUGAUAAGCUGUAGAGUUUCCAGCACCCACAAGACAGCGUGCUCACAGGUCAAACACUUAGGAAAACUCAAUUAAUUCUGACCUGGGACCGGGCAGGAAUUUCUCCUAGGGUUCUUCAUAAUGAGAGUGCUCUGUGAUGAAAUAAAAAACAUACCAAUAAAAUCUGUGUGCAAUAAUGCAUUCUGCACAGAACUACUCCUGAGCAGAAAUUUGCAGAAUCAACAUCCCCCCAAAGGUAAAGACUAUAAAAGCAGCUCUGUGUGGUGACACAUGAGGUGACCAAUUCGGUGCUGGCCUGGCUCAAAUCAGAAUGGACUUUAGAGAAGCUUGACAGGUGCCAAAGUGGCUGGGAGGAAGUAUACUGGCUCCAAGUCCUGCUCUCAGCCCUGUCACGCUGGAGGAUUCUGAUGAGAGCUCAGACCUUGGAUCCAGGGGUUCCCAUCAUGGCUCGGUGGUUAAUGAACCCAACUAGCAUCCAUGAGGACAUGGGUUCGAUCCCUGGCCUUGAUUAGUGGGUUAAGGAUCUGGUGUUGCCAUGAGCUGUGUUGUAGGUGGCAGACAAGGCUCAGAUCCUGCACUACUGCUGUGGCUGUGGUCUAGGCCAGUAGCUACAGCUCGGAUUCGACCCCUAGCCUGGGAACUUCCACAUGCCAUAGGUGCGGCCCUAAAAAGACAAAAAAAAAAAAAAAAA
ensembl:lncRNA